rnacentral:rRNA from 1 species
GGAAUUGACGGAAGGGCACCACCAGGAGUGGAGCCUGCGGCUUAAUUUGACUCAACACGGGAAACCUCACCAGGCCCGGACACCGGAAGGAUUGACAGAUUGAGAGCUCUUUCUUGAUUCGGUGGGUGGUGGUGCAUGGCCGUUCUUAGUUGGUGGAGCGAUUUGUCUGGUUAAUUCCGAUAACGAACGAGACUCUGGCCUGUUAACUAGGCGUAUUUCCGACAUCUCGAAGGCCCGCCGGCCUGGUGCGUUCGCGUGCCUAGUCGUGCGCGGUUUUUACUGUCGGCGUACAAACAAUUCUUCUUAGAGGGACAGGCGGCUUCUAGCCGCACGAGAUAGAGCAAUAACAGGUCUGUGAUGCCCUUAGAUGUUCUGGGCCGCACGCGCGCUACACUGAAGGAAUCAGCGUGUCCUCCCUGGCCGAGCGGCCCGGGUAACCCGCUGAACCUCCUUCGUGCUAGGGAUUGGGGCUUGCAAUUGUUCCCCAUGAACGAGGAAUUCCCAGUAAGCGCGAGUCAUAAGCUCGCGUUGAUUACGUCCCUGCCCUUUGUACACACCGCCCGUCGCUACUACCGAUUGAAUGAUUUAGUGAGGUCUUCGGACCGGCACGCGGUGGCGUUUCGACGUCGCCGAUGAUGCUGGAAAGAUGACCAAACUUGAUCAUUU